rnacentral:rRNA from 1 species
CCUACGGGAGGCAGCAGUGGGGAAUAUUGCUCAAUGGGGGAGACCCUGAUGCAGCGACGCCGCGUGAGUGAAGACGUCACUCUUUAUGUAAAGCUCUAUCAGUAGGGAAGAAAAUGACGGUACCUGAGCCAGAAGCCCCGGCUAACUACGUGCCAGCAGCCGCGGUAAUACGGAGGGGGCAAGCGUUAUCCGGAUUUACAGGGUGUUAAGGGAGCGUAGACGGCUGUGCAAGUCUGGAGUGAAAGGCGGGGGCUCAACCCCCGGACUGCUCUUGAAACUGUAAGGCUGGAGUGCAGGAGAGGUAAGUGGAAUUCGUGGUGUAGCGGUGAAAUGCUUAGAUAUUAGGAGGAACACCAGUGGCGAAGGCAGCUUACUGGACUGUAACUGACGUUGAGGCUCGAAAGCGUGGGGAGCAAACAGGAUUAGAUACCCGGGUAGUC